rnacentral:tRNA from 1 species
GGGGCAAUAGCUCAGUUGGGAGAGCGCUACGUUCGCAUCGUAGAAGUCGUGGGUUCGAGUCCCAUUUGCUCCACCA